CCGGGGAGGACCACCAGUGCCCCGAAGGCUUGCCUGGUUAGAACACGCCUUACGGUUGAUGGGACCGUAAGUCUUGUGGGACGAAUCGGAUUAGAAUACCCGAGUAGUUCCCAUCCGUAAACGAUGCAGGUUAGUUUUUGGGUUGCCAUGCGCCACCCCAGUGCCGCAGGGAAGCCCUUAAGCCUGCCGCUGGGGAGUACGGCCGCAAGGCUGAAACUUAAAGGAAUUGGCGGGGGAGUACCACCAGGCGUGAAGCCUGCGGUUUAAUUGGAGUCAACGCCGGGAACCUUACCGGGAGCGACAGCAGGGUGAAGGCCAGGUUGAAGGUCUUGCCGGACGAGCUGAGAGGAGGUGCAUGGCCGUCGCCAGUUCGUGCCGUAAGGUGUCCUCUUAAGUGAGGUAACGAACGAGACCCGCGCCCCUUGUUGCCAGCAGAUCUAAAGGGAUGCUGGGCACUUAGAGGGACCGCUAUCGAUAAGAUAGAGGAAGGUGCGGGCAACGGCAGGUCAGUAUGCCCCGAAUCUCCCGGGCCACACGCGGGCUGCAAUGGUAGGGACAGAGGGCUGCGACACUGAGAGGUGAAGCCAAUCCUAAACCUACCUCAGUUGGGAUCGAAGNGGCUGCAACCCGUCCUCGUGAACAUGGAAUGCUAGUAUCCGCGUGU
rnacentral:rRNA from 1 species